rnacentral:rRNA from 1 species
UGGCUUAGAAGCAGCCAUCAUUUAAAGAGUGCGUAAUAGCUCACUAGUCGAGUGACACUGCGCCGAAAAUGUACCGGGGCUAAACAUAUUACCGAAGCUGUGGAUUGUCCUUUGGACAAUGGUAGGAGAGCGUUCUAAGGGCGUUGAAGCAUGAUCGUAAGGACAUGUGGAGCGCUUAGAAGUGAGAAUGCCGGUGUGAGUAGCGAAAGACGGGUGAGAAUCCCGUCCACCGAUUGACUAAGGUUUCCAGAGGAAGGCUCGUCCGCUCUGGGUUAGUCGGGUCCUAAGCUGAGGCCGACAGGCGUAGGCGAUGGAUAACAGGUUGAUAUUCCUGUACCACCUAUA